rnacentral:rRNA from 1 species
GACGAACGCUGGCGGCGUGCCUAAUACAUGCAAGUAGAACGCUGAAGGAGGAGCUUGCUCUUCUGGAUGAGUUGCGAACGGGUGAGUAACGCGUAGGUAACCUGCCUGGUAGCGGGGGAUAACUAUUGGAAACGAUAGCUAAUACCGCAUAACAGUAGAUGUUGCAUGACAUUUACUUAAAAGGUGCAAUUGCAUCACUACCAGAUGGACCUGCGUUGUAUUAGCUAGUUGGUGGGGUAACGGCUCACCAAGGCGACGAUACAUAGCCGACCUGAGAGGGUGAUCGGCCACACUGGGACUGAGACACGGCCCAGACUCCUACGGGAGGCAGCAGUAGGGAAUCUUCGGCAAUGGACGGAAGUCUGACCGAGCAACGCCGCGUGAGUGAAGAAGGUUUUCGGAUCGUAAAGCUCUGUAGUAAGAGAAGAACGAGUGUGAGAGUGGAAAGUUCACACUGUGACGGUAUCUGACCAGAAAGGGACGGCUAACUACGUG